UCCCCUUUGAUCCCUCGCCUGGGAACCUCCCUCCAUAUCCCGCGGAUGCAGCUACAAAAAGCAAAUAAAUAAAUAAAUAAAUAAUAAAUGCUUACUUAUUAUCUUUGUAAAUUAGUGGGGAGAAAAAGCCAUUUCCAUAUGGGAACCCCAAGGACCCAGGCCUGGGGACCCUGAGCAAAUCAAUGGGGCACAGCACGUGGCUCACUGCCCUGCGCGUCCCCAGAGAGGAAGGACCAUUCUGGACGGUUUCUUGGUCCCCGGUCCCCGGACAGUACUCGCACCAGGACCGCUGCCAGGGCCUGGAGAGAGCGGAUCCAGCGUUCCAGCUCCGGAUCCAGCAUCCCAGCUCCGAGGCUCCUCAGACAGAAGAGGGCGGGGCCUCGUUCUUCCCUCCUGCCCCCAGGCUGCCAGGCUGCGUUUCAUAGUUUGAUUGAAAGUGUGCCAUCCCGUCUGUCUCUCCGCAAACAAAUGGAAUAUUCUGAGCUUCCAGCAUUUGGAGGCACACAGCUUGCAUCUUUUCCUGAAGAAAAAUAAAUAGCAUGUGUGGUUAACAACCGAGUCCUGAUGGAGAAAACAAUGCUGCCGACCAGAAGCCCUUGCGCAACCGGGGCCGCAGACGCCAGGCAGGUAGCUGAGCUUCGGCUCCUCUGCAAUGCCAAGUCCAUCCACUGUCAGAAGACCCCUCCUCCUCUGCCACCAGCUCACCCACACCCAUCCAGGACCCUGGCUUGCAGGGCUGUCCAUGUCUGUUUACAAACCGCAGGAGAGAAAGCAGCUCAAGGCAUAGGUCAAGCUGCAGAGCUUUUUGGAACAAGGGGUUUAAAACCUACCUUUUUUUGGAAUAAUCCCAGCUCCCAACUCUGGGAGAAACAAAUACAAACCAGAAUUCUCUGGCUGCGGUCUGUCUGAAUAUCUGGACACUCUUCCCAGCAUGUGACAUCCUCUUCCGUCCAGACUUCAAGGUUAAAAAUAGCCUGGCAAACCCUUUGAACUAUUGUCUCUUUCAAACACAAUAUGGAUUGUAUGUGUGUUUACCACUUGGAAGAAACGCUUUGUGACACAAGACAUGCUGACAGGGUGUUUCAGGCUAAGGGUGGAGGAGGGUGUCCACGGACUUGUUGAAUUUACACUAAAUACAUACACACACCUGUUCCCACGCACCCAGGCUGCUCCUGCCUGGUACAACCAUUCCCAAGCGGCUGCUAAGACUGUAACAACCCUGUGGGGUGAUCCAAUUGACCAAAACUCAGCAGGAAGCCCCAUUGUCUUCCUCCCUCCAAUAGAUCAGCAAAACACAUGAUCAGGAAGAUUUUCUCUCUCUCUCUCUCUCUCUCUUUUUUUUUUUUUUUUUUUUUUUUUUUUUGGCCACCCUGCGGCAUAUCAAGUUCCCAGACCAGGGAUAAGAUCCGAGCUGCAGUUGCAACCUAAGCCACAGCUUCAGCAAUGUCAGAUCCUUAACCCACUGUGCUGGACCGGGGAUCGAACUCUCACCCCAGCACUCCCAAGACACUGCCCAUCCCAUUGCGCCACAGCAGGAAAUCUGGGAAGAAUUUUAAGAAGUGGCCAUCUUAAAAUUUCUAACUGCCUUUCUGGUCCCAGCAGAUUUUUGUUCAAGAAAGAAUCACUAGGUAACCUUCUCUCUUUAAAGGCCCUGGGCCUUAAGAAAGGCCUCUCCUUCUAGAACCACUCUCCAUGCAGAGGUGGCUGCUGGCAGGACCUGAGAACCUUUGCUGUGGAGCCAGAACGCCUCCCUGGGAGCACAGGGGUGGGGAACUGGCCUGAGUUUUUGAGGUUCACAAUCCUAGAGCCUCUUGGUUGGACUGGAACAUUCUGGCCAUGGUCAGCUGGCAGGACAGGAGCAAGAGCUUCUCAGAAAAUGGGCAUUUGACUGGCAAAGCCAGCCCCACAC
rnacentral:lncRNA from 1 species